rnacentral:rRNA from 1 species
ACACUAUCAUUAACUGAAUCCAUAGGUUAAUGAGGCGAACCGGGGGAACUGAAACAUCUAAGUACCCCGAGGAAAAGAAAUCAACCGAGAUUCCCCCAGUAGCGGCGAGCGAACGGGGAGGAGCCCAGAGCCUGAAUCAGCAUGUGUGUUAGUGGAAGCGUCUGGAAAGGCGCGCGAUACAGGGUGACAGCCCCGUACACAAAAGCGCAUGUGCUGUGAGCUCGAUGAGUAGGGCGGGACACGUGGUAUCCUGUCUGAAUAUGGGGGGACCAUCCUCCAAGGCUAAAUACUCCUGACUGACCGAUAGUGAACCAGUACCGUGAGGGAAAGGCGAAAAGAACCCCGGCGAGGGGAGUGAAAAAGAACCUGAAACCG